CCUGGCGGCAAUAGCGCUUUGGUCCCACGCCUUCCCAUUUCGAACAGGACCGUGAAACGAAGCUGCGCCGAUGAUAGUGCGGGUUCCCGUGUGAACGUAGGUCACCGCCAGGC
rnacentral:rRNA from 1 species